rnacentral:lncRNA from 1 species
GUAGAGACAAAAGUAAUGACACCUACAUGAAUUAUAAUCGCUUUUCAGGUUUUCCUCCUAAGUCUGCGGGGCAUGUGGAAAAAAAUAGUUGCAAAAUAACUAUUUAGCUAGCAGUCUCCUAAAGAGUGUCCUCAACACACCCACCGCUCCAGGCCUCCUCCUUAAACUACUUCUCCAACAACCGGAAUCCGUCUCUAAAGUUUCUGUCUGGCGAUCUGCGCGCAUAGGUUCAAACCUAGGAAAAUGGGAUCCAAACACAGGGAGGAAGAAAAAAAAACGUCCUUUCCCCUUUGGCUGUGAACUUUCCCUUCUGGUAAGUUCUCCUUUAAGAAAUGAACUGUUCCCUAUGAAUAUUUAAUGCUGUUUGUCUGAAGUAUCCAGAUGACGCGUACUGGAGCCUGCCUCACAUACAGGUCCUGAAUUAUGGUGGAGUAAAUCAGCACCCUCUAAACGCACCCACCGCAAUGAGUUCUGGUGGCAUCCAGUUGCUAAUGCUAUUAAGCAUACGUAUUCCACACGAGAGAAAAGAAAAGGUUGGGAGAGGAAAAAGGAGGAGGGGGAAGGGGGAUUAAAAAGAGGAAGAGGUUGAAGGGAAAGAGGCUGGGGCAGGGGAACCCAGGCUUAGGAAUGAGUAAGAUAUUUUGUUCAUUUCCAUAAGAAAGCUGAAAUCACAGUUGGAAGCAGGAUUUCUUGCCCCAACAGCCCCCUUUUCUGCAAGAAGCAGGCUCGCGAGCUCAGAACCAUAAGUGUGUACUUUUGUCUUUGAUUGUGUAGAUAAAAUGUGGUUUCAUAUUUUGCUCAAAAUGAGACCGGUUUCCUGUCUGUGUAUCGAGUGGAAGAACACCGCAAGGGAGAAGUAGCCACACAGGACGUGAAAGAGUCUCAGCAGGGCAAGAAAGUACCAGGACUGCUUAGGACAGAGCCAGGAUUCCUGGAGCACUCUGUCUUUGGCAUCACUGCCCCCAGAAGGCAUAUUCCUGCCUGUGACCUAAAACAAGUCCAAACCAGCUACCUAACUGAAGUCAACUCCAGUCGCCUCUCACAGUACUACCAGUACCCCUAGUUCGCCUGACAACAAAAAACCCAGCAAGUCUCUGCUUGAACUAGCUUGGAAGCCAAGCCAAACCAACACCAGAGUCACCAACCCACAUCAUUCGGUCAGUUUGGAAACAGAAGGGGCCAGACCCUCUCCCAUCUCCUAACAGCCUCACCAAAAUGGAUAGAUUCUUAAAGCCCAACAGACACCAGAGUGCCAUUUAAAACCUAGGCACGUUUUUGGAGCCCAAGGGAACAAUUGACUAGAUUCAGUGUCUCUGGAACUGGGUACAUGCCUGUAAGGUGUGUGAUCCUUUAAAGAUCCGUGUUACUAGCUUUGCAUGAAGGCUUUGUUACAGCUUUGUCAGCUUGCUUGCAUUCAGCAACCUUGCUCCCACCCCCACCCUCCCUUUUCCUCUUCUCCCCUCAACUGCCUAUUCUAGCAAUGCCUGGCUGAGUUGUUUUGAAG